rnacentral:tRNA from 1 species
ACAUUGGUGGUUCCACGGUAGUAUUCUUGCCUUCCAUGCAGGAAACCCAGGUUCGAUUCCCAGCCAAUGAA